ACAGGUGCUGCAUGGCUGUCGUCAGCUCGUGUCGUGAGAUGUUGGGUUAAGUCCCGUAACGAGCGCAACCCUCGUUCUUAGUUGCCAGCGGUUCGGCCGGGGACUCUAGGAGUACUGCCGGUGAUAAACCGGAGGAAGGUGGGGACGAUGUCAAGUCAUCAUGGCCUUUAUGAGUAGGGCUACACACGUGCUACAAUGGACAGUACAGAGGGAUGCAAUACCGCGAGGUGGAGCAAAUCCCAGAAAGCUGUUCGUAGUCCGGAUUGGAGUCUGCAACUCGACUCCAUGAAGUUGGAAUCGCUAGUAGUCGCGAAUCAGAAUGUCGCGGUGAAUACGUUCUCGGGCCUUGUACACACCGCCCGUCAUACCAUGGGAGUAGAUUGUA
rnacentral:rRNA from 1 species